rnacentral:rRNA from 1 species
GUGGGGAAUAUUGCACAAUGGACGAAAGUCUGAUGCAGCGACGCCGCGUGGAGGAUGAAGGUCUUCGGAUUGUAAACUCCUGUUAAGAGGGAAGAAAGAACCGUGGGUAAUAUCCACGGGUGAUGACGGUACCUCUAGAGAAAGCUCCGGCUAACUUCGUGCCAGCAGCCGCGGUAAUACGAAGGGAGCAAGCGUUAUUCGGAAUUACUGGGCGUAAAGGGCGCGUAGGCGGUCUAUUAAGUCAGUCGUUAAAGCCCAUGGCUUACCCAUGGAAAUGCGAUUGAUACUGAUGGACUAGAGGACAAGAGAGAGGAGUGGAAUUCUCGGAGUAGCGGUAGAAUGCGUAGAUCUCGAGAGGAACACCGAUGGCGAAGGCAGCUCUUUGGCUUGUACCUGACGCUGAGGCGCGAAAGCGUGGGGAGCAAACAGGAUUAGAAACCCUAGUAGUCC